rnacentral:rRNA from 1 species
UGCUCCAAGAGUUUAUAUAUGUGUUGCUGCAGUUGAAAAGCUCGUAGUUGGGGUUUAGAUUUGGGGGGUUUGUGUGGUUCUGGUGUCGGGUUUUGCCCGUGCCAGUUAAAUACAUGUAUUUGUGGCCACCCCCAUCCACUUUUUUUGUUCAUGUAAGCUGGGAUCUGCCCAACUCACAUUUGAACGCGUUACUUUGAGUAAAUCUGAGUGUUCAAAGCAGACGGAACAUACCCCGUCUUGAAAGUUGUAGCAUGGAAUAACGUGAUAGGACUCCGGUGGCCCUUUUCAGUUGGUCUAAGCCGUUCCGGAGUAAUGACUAAGAGGGACAGUCGGGGGCACUCGUACUUCCUUGUCAGAGGUGAAAUUCUUGGAUUUAGGAAAGACGAACCACUGCGAAAGCAUUUGCCAAGGAUGUUUUCA